rnacentral:lncRNA from 1 species
CACAAAUAAAACAAUCCAUACCAAACACGAUAGAGUGGUUGUCUAUGUUGGGGGAAGGAGAAUGAAAGGAGAAAAAGGCUUAAAGAGAAUAUUUUCAUAAAAAAUCCUAACUCGGUGCACUUGGACUAUUUUGAGUGUGUUUCUAGAGGGUGGGUGGGGAGAGGAAUUUGAUCAUGACAGAUGGUCACAGAAAUGUACUUAGAUUAGUGAAAGGUAUUUGGGAAGAAUGCUUAACUGUCAAAUAAUCCAAAUUAUUUAGAGAACUGUAUCAUUUUCCAUUAAGAAUAGUUACUAGAGAACCUUUACAACAGAUAAUCAAGAGUUCAAAUCUUAGCAGUUUCUAAUUCUCAAAUCAAAGUUGCCAUUGGGUGUGUGUUUGACACCUAGAAGGCAUACUAGGGAAGCCAGAAUCACUGCCCAUUAAUCAGACUGGUGGUAAGGUAGGGGAAAAAUGGACGUAUAGUCUUCUGAGAGUCCCCAAAUCAGAAGGGAUAGAAGUAUCAAUGGUGGCGGUUUCAGGGUUUUUGUCUCUAACACACUGGAGAGUCUCAACAUAUGUAACCAAAUGAUACAGUAAAGAGUUUAGGAUAUAAAAAAAAAAUCAUAGCUACUGGCCAGACGCAGUGGCUCAUGCCUGUAAUCCCAGCACUUUGGGAGGCCGAGGCUGGCAGAUUACGAGAUCAGGAGUUCAAGACCAGCCAGACCAACAUGGUGAAACCCCAUCUCUACUAAAAAUACAAAAAUUAGCUGGGUGUGGUGGUGCACGCCUGUAAUCCCAGCUACUCAGGAGGCUGAGGCAGAAGAAUCGCUUGAACCUGGGAGGUGGAGGUUGCAGUGAGCCGAGAUCGCGCCACUGCAUUCCAGUCUGGGUGACAGAGUGAGACUCUGUCUCCAAAAAAAAAUCACAGCUACUAAUCCUGUUGUGCUGUGUCCUUUGCAGAUCCUAUUUAUAAACAUAAAAUAAGUAAUUCCUUGAAUAUGACUGUUAAGCAGGGUUUGAAAAGAGGACUGACAAGCUACAAUGUCCCAUUCCUGGUUUUAUUCAUAGAUUUGUGAUGACUACAAGGAACAAUCAGCCAAAAGUCUGCGAGAAUCAAGCUUUACAGGCAAAAUGACCUUACGGAUACCAAUGACCCCAAAACGGUAUGAAAGUUUCAAGAAGACAUCCUUUAAAUGUAAAUCUACAAUCACACUUCAUACUAGUUAUUUUAUAUUAACAGGCAGUGAAGAGUCACUAACUUUACUUUUCCUUUGACAAGAAGCACAAGAGCCAGUGAAGAAGCCUAAUGGUGACUUAUAUUGAAUGAAAAAUGGUCAUUUUCCCCUAUCAGGAAACCUAUUAAUUUUUACCUAGUCACAGGUAAAAACUAUUAAGAGCCACAUGUAAACGUUUUAGUAGUUUUGCUUUAAAUGCACUUUAAAGCACACUUUUUUUUUUUUUUUUGAGACAGAGCGUCACUCUGUCACCCAGGCUGGAGUGCAGUGGCGCGAUCUCGCCUCAUUGCAAGCUCAGCCUCCAGGUUCACACCAUUCUCCUGCCUC